AACGUAGGACACAAGCGUUAUCCGGAGUUACUGGGCGUAAAGGGCGUGUAGGCGGACCUAUAAGUCUAUUCUGAAAGCUCCUGGCUAAACUGGGAGAGGCGAAUGGAGACUGUAGAUCUAGAGUGAGGAAGAGGAAAGUGGAAUUCCGCGUGUAGUGGUGAAAUGCGUAGAGAUGCGGAGGAACACCAGUGGCGAAAGCGACUUCUUGUCCUUAACUGACGCUGAGGCGCGAAAGCAUGGGGAGCGAACGGG
rnacentral:rRNA from 1 species